rnacentral:rRNA from 1 species
UACGUAGGUGGCGAGCGUUGUCCGGAUUUACUGGGUGUAAAGGGCGUGUAGGCGGGACUGCAAGUCAGAUGUGAAAUACCGGGGCUCAACCCCGGGGCUGCAUUUGAAACUGUGGUUCUUGAGUGCGGGAGAGGAAAGCGGAAUUCCUAGUGUAGCGGUGAAAUGCGUAGAUAUUAGGAGGAACACCGGUGGCGAAGGCGGCUUUCUGGACCGUAACUGACGCUGAGGCGCGAAAGCGUGGGUAGCAAACAGG